AUUGAACGCUGGCGGCAUGCCUUACACAUGCAAGUCGAACGGCAGCGCGGACUUCGGUCUGGCGGCGAGUGGCGAACGGGUGAGUAAUGCAUCGGAACGUACCUUUCAGUGGGGGGAUAACGUAGCGAAAGUUACGCUAAUACCGCAUAUUCUGUGAGCAGGAAAGCAGGGGAUCGCAAGACCUUGCGCUGAUGGAGCGGCCGAUGUCAGAUUAGCUAGUUGGUGGGGUAAAGGCUCACCAAGGCGACGAUCUGUAGCGGGUCUUAGAGGAUGACCAGCCACACUGGCACUGAAACACGGGCCAGACACCUACGGGUGGCUG
rnacentral:rRNA from 1 species